GUCUUUUCACUGAGCCCCUUUCUGUCAACCGGUGGCAGAUUAUGGAUUUGCACAAGAGGAGAGAGGUCACAGAGCUAGCACUUAUCUUCUGUUUUUGCAGAGGUAUAUUUGGUUGUUGUGUGAGACACUC
ensembl:snoRNA Gm25038 predicted gene, 25038